CCUACGGGGGGCAGCAGUGGGGAAUAUUGGGCAAUGGGCGCAAGCCUGACCCAGCAACGCCGCGUGAAGGAAGAAGGCUUUCGGGUUGUAAACUUCUUUUCUGAGGGACGAAGAAAGUGACGGUACCUCAGGAAUAAGUCACGGCUAACUACGUGCCAGCAGCCGCGGUAAUACGUAGGUGGCAAGCGUUAUCCGGAUUUAUUGGGUGUAAAGGGCGUGUAGGCGGCAGAGCAAGUCAGAUGUGAAAGCUCAGGGCUCAACCCGGAGCCUGCAUUUGAAACUGUUAAUCUUGAGUGCCGGAGAGGCAAGCGGAAUUCCGGGUGUAGCGGUGACAUGCGUAGAUAUACGGAGGAACACCAGUGGCGAAGGCGGAUUGCUGGACAGUAACUGACGCUGAGGCGCGAAAGCGUGGGGAGCAAACAGGAUUAGAUACCCUUGUAGUC
rnacentral:rRNA from 1 species